rnacentral:rRNA from 1 species
ACGAACGCUGGCGGCGUGCCUAAUACCUGCAAGUUGAGCGCUGAAGGUUGGUACUUGUACCAACUGGAUGAGCAGCGAACGGGUGAGUAACGCGUGGGGAAUCUGCCUUUGAGCGGGGGACAACAUUUGGAAACGAAUGCUAAUACCGCAUAAAAACUUUAAACACAAGUUUUAAGUUUGAAAGAUGCAAUUGCAUCACUCAAAGAUGAUCCCGCGUUGUAUUAGCUAGUUGGUGAGGUAAAGGCUCACCAAGGCGAUGAUACAUAGCCGACCUGAGAGGGUGAUCGGCCACAUUGGGACUGAGACACGGCCCAAACUCCUACGGGAGGCAGCAGUAGGGAAUCUUCGGCAAUGGACGAAAGUCUGACCGAGCAACGCCGCGUGAGUGAAGAAGGUUUUCGGAUCGUAAAACUCUGUUGGUAGAGAAGAACGUUGGUGAGAGUGGAAAGCUCAUCAAGUGACGGUAACUACCCAGAAAGGGACGGCUAACUACGUG